UACGUAGGGAGCAAGCGUUGUCCGGAAUCAUUGGGCGUAAAGCGCGCGUAGGCGGCCCGAUAAGUCCGCUGUGAAAGUCAACGGCUCAACUGUUGGAUGCCGGUGGAUACUGUCGGGCUAGAGUACGGAAGAGGCAAGUGGAAUUCCUGGUGUAGCGGUGGAAUGCGCAGAUAUCAGGAGGAACACCAGUGGCGAAGGCGCCACUCUGGGCCGUAACUGACGCUGAGGAGCGAAAGCGUGGGUAGCAAACAGG
rnacentral:rRNA from 1 species